UACGGGGGGGGCAAGCGUUGUUCGGAAUUACUGGGCGUAAAGGGCUCGUAGGCGGCCAACUAAGUCGGACGUGAAAUCCCCAGGCUCAACCUGGGAACUGCGUCCGAUACUGGAUGGCUUGAAUCCGGGAGAGGGAUGCAGAAUUCCAGGUGUAGCGGUGAAAUGCGUAGAUAUCGGGAGGAACACCGGUGGCGAAGGCGGUUCUCUGGGCCUGUACUGACGCUGAGGAGCGAAAGCGUGGGGAGCGAACAGG
rnacentral:rRNA from 1 species